rnacentral:RNase_P_RNA from 3 species
AAGGUAAAUCGGGCAAUUGCUCUGCUGAUGUUUUGCAUUGGCGGAGAGGAAAGUCCGGACAUUCCCCUGGUUUUAUACUAGGGAGCAGGGUAGCGGCUCCGACGCUCGAAAGGGUGCGGAGUUCCGACAUUGAAAAAUCGUCGGAGGUAAUGCCCGUCAUGGGGAAACCCAAGAGGUGCGAGCAGAGACGUUUUAUUUCGAAAGAAAUAAAAUAUCCCCCUCACGAGGGAUAAGCUCUUAUAGUAAUAUAAGAGGUGAAACGGCUAAAUCCUUACCUGAAUGCAAGGUCGUACUCUGACGUUAUGUCAGGGGGUGCCGCUUGACUCCGACGGUAACGUCGGAGCUAGAUAAAUGAUUGCCACUCCGACCUUGCGUCGGAGGACAGAAUCCGGCUUAUAGAUUUGCCUUGGUA